rnacentral:rRNA from 1 species
CCUUACCGGAGGUGGCGGUGGGGAAUGUGGCCAAUGGGGGCAACCCUGAUCCAGCCCUGCCGCGUGGGUGAAGAAGGCCCUCCCCUUGUAAAGCUCUUCAUCCGGAAGGAAAAGGUUCGGGUUAAUACCCCGCGACUGACGGUACCGGCAAGAAUAAGCACUGCUAUUAUCG